rnacentral:rRNA from 1 species
UACGUAGGGUCCGAGCGUUGUCCGGAAUUACUGGGCGUAAAGAGCUCGUAGGUGGUUUGUCGCGUUGUUCGUGAAAACUCACAGCUCAACUGUGGGCGUGCGGGCGAUACGGGCAGACUAGAGUACUGCAGGGGAGACUGGAAUUCCUGGUGUAGCGGUGGAAUGCGCAGAUAUCAGGAGGAACACCUGCGGCGAAGGCGGGUUGCUGGGCUGAUACUGACGGCUGAGGCGCGAAAGCCCAGGGGAGCGAACGGG